ACAACGGAGAGUUUGAUCCUGGCUCAGGAUGAACGCUGGCGGCGUGCUUAACACAUGCAAGUCGAACGAACCUUCGGGUUAGUGGCGGACGGGUGAGUAACGCGUGAGAAUCUGCCCUCAGGAGGGGGAUAACGGCUGGAAACGGCCGCUAAUACCCCAUAUGCCGAGAGGUGAAAUGAAUUUCGCCUGAGGAUGAGCUCGCGUCUGAUUAGCUAGUUGGUGUGGUAAAGGCUCACCAAGGCAUCGAUCAGUAGCUGGUCUGAGAGGAUGAUCAGCCACACUGGGACUGAGACACGGCCCAGACUCCUGCGGGAGGCAGCAGUGGGGAAUUUUCCGCAAUGGGCGCAAGCCUGACGGAGCAACGCCGCGUGAGGGAUGAAGGCCUCUGGGCUGUAAACCUCUUUUAUCAAGGAAGAAGAUCUGACGGUACUUGAUGAAUAAGCCACGGCUAAUUCCGUGCCAGCAGCCGCGGUAAUACGGGAGUGGCAAGCGUUAUCCGGAAUUAUUGGGCGUAAAGCGUCCGCAGGCGGUCUUGAAAGUCUGUUGUUAAAGCGUGGAGCUCAACUCCAUUUCAGCAAUGGAAACUAGAAGACUAGAGUGUGGUAGGGGCAGAGGGAAUUCCCGGUGUAGCGGUGAAAUGCGUAGAUAUCGGGAAGAACACCAGUGGCGAAGGCGCUCUGCUGGGCCAUAACUGACGCUCAUGGACGAAAGCCAGGGGAGCGAAAGGGAUUAGAUACCCCUGUAGUCCUGGCCGUAAACGAUGAACACUAGGUGUCGGGGGAAUCGACCCCCUCGGUGUCGUAGCCAACGCGUUAAGUGUUCCGCCUGGGGAGUACGCACGCAAGUGUGAAACUCAAAGGAAUUGACGGGGGCCCGCACAAGCGGUGGAGUAUGUGGUUUAAUUCGAUGCAACGCGAAGAACCUUACCAGGGUUUGACAUCCUGCGAAUCCCUUGGAAACUUGGGAGUGCCUUCGGGAGCGCAGUGACAGGUGGUGCAUGGCUGUCGUCAGCUCGUGUCGUGAGAUGUUGGGUUAAGUCCCGCAACGAGCGCAACCCACGUCUUUAGUUGCCAGCAUUAAGUUGGGCACUCUAGAGAGACUGCCGGUGAUAAACCGGAGGAAGGUGUGGAUGACGUCAAGUCAUCAUGCCCCUUACAUCCUGGGCUACACACGUACUACAAUGCUACGGACAAAGGGCAGCAAACUCGCGAGAGCUAGCAAAUCCCAUAAACCGUGGCUCAGUUCAGAUCGUAGGCUGCAACUCGCCUACGUGAAGGAGGAAUCGCUAGUAAUCGCAGGUCAGCAUACUGCGGUGAAUACGUUCCCGGGCCUUGUACACACCGCCCGUCACACCAUGGAAGUUGGCCACGCCCGAAGUCGUUACUCCAACCCGCAAGGGAGGAGGAUGCCGAAGGUGGGGCUGAUGACUGGGGUGAAGUCGUAACAAGGUAGCCGUACCGGAAGGUGCGGCUGGAUCACCUCCUAA
rnacentral:rRNA from 1 species